GACGAACGCUGGCGGCGCGCCUAACACAUGCAAGUCGAACGAGCGAGAGAGAGCUUGCUUUCUCGAGCGAGUGGCGAACGGGUGAGUAACGCGUGAGGAACCUGCCUCAAAGAGGGGGACAACAGUUGGAAACGACUGCUAAUACCGCAUAAGCCCACGGGUCGGCAUCGACCAGAGGGAGAAGGAGCAAUCCGCUUUGAGAUGGCCUCGCGUCCGAUUAGCUAGUUGGUGAGGUAACGGCCCACCAAGGCAACGAUCGGUAGCCGGACUGAGAGGUUGAACGGCCACAUUGGGACUGAGACACGGCCCAGACUCCUACGGGAGGCAGCAGUGGGGAAUAUUGCACAAUGGGGGAAACCCUGAUGCAGCGACGCCGCGUGGAGGAAGAAGGUCUUCGGAUUGUAAACUCCUGUUGUUGGGGAAGAUAAUGACGGUACCCAACAAGGAAGUGACGGCUAACUACGUG
rnacentral:rRNA from 1 species